rnacentral:lncRNA from 1 species
CCUCUCUCCCCUCUUUCCCCUCUCUCCCCUCUCUCCCCUCUCCCUCUCCCCAACAGAGCUUAGAAAUGGACUAGUGGAGAGGACGCCACUUCGCGCUUAGGCCGAGUGGAGUUUAGUCCAUGAAAUGCUGAACUCCAGGUAGUGCUGUACUGUGGGUAGCUCCGGUGAAGAGCAAAACAACCCUCCGAUAAUGCGGCCACACCAGCUCUCUUCUGUUUUUGAGGAUGGAUAGCAAACAUUUCAACUGUGGUGCUUCUCAUUCUGCCUGCUCAGCUGUGUCUCUUCUUCCUGGUUCAUUCCUCGGAGCAGCACCCUCGGUGUCUACAGUAAUUGACAUUACAUCAACGUCUGCUUGCAGGAGGGAAGGCCUGAAGCAAUGUCAGCAUCAGGGAAAAGACUAACUCAUGGCCUGGGUUGUGCACAGGCAUCUGAUCUUAUGCUAUUCCAAGCUGGGUGUUGAAAUGGAAGCGCAGUGGGUGACUACACGAUACAGUUGUGUUUUCAUUUCUCAAGGAAGGCUCUGACUGUCCUGCUGCUUGGCACACAACUUGCAUUUUGACUUUUUACCUUUAGAAUUUUCUUUCCAUUUUAAGUGGC